UACAGGGGGGGCAAGCGUUGUUCGGAAUUACUGGGCGUAAAGGGUUCGUAGGUGGCCACUUAAGUCAGACGUGAAAUCCCUCAGCUUAACUGGGGAACUGCGUCUGAUACUGAGUGGCUUGAGUGCAGGAGAGGAAUGCGGAAUUCCAGGUGUAGCGGUGAAAUGCGUAGAUAUCAAGUGGAACACCAGUGGCGAAGGCGAGUCCCUGGACAACUCCUGACACUGAGGCACGAAAGCUAGGGGAGCAAACAGG
rnacentral:rRNA from 1 species